AUUGAACGCUGGCGGAAUGCUUUACACAUGCAAGUCGAACGGCAGCACGGACUUCGGUCUGGUGGCGAGUGGCGAACGGGUGAGUAAUGUAUCGGAACGUGCCCAGUCGUGGGGGAUAACGUAGUGAAAAUUACGCUAAUACCGCAUACGAUCUAUGGAUGAAAGCGGGGGAUCGCAAGACCUCGCGCGAUUGGAGCGGCCGAUAUCAGAUUAGGUAGUUGGUGGGGUAAAGGCCCACCAAGCCAACGAUCUGUAGCUGGUCUGAGAGGACGACCAGCCACACUGGAACUGAGACACGGUCCAGACUCCUACGGGAGGCAGCAGUGGGGAAUUUUGGACAAUGGGCGAAAGCCUGAUCCAGCCAUCCCGCGUGCAGGAUGAAGGCCCUCGGGUUGUAAACUGCUUUCGUACAGAACGAAAAGGUUUCUACUAAUACUAGGAGCUCAUGACGGUACUGUAAGAAUAAGCACCGGCUAACUACGUGCCAGCCGCCGCGGUAA
rnacentral:rRNA from 1 species